rnacentral:misc_RNA from 1 species
UUGUGGAGGAGGACGCCGAAGGUGGGGCUAAUGACUGGGGUGAAGUCGUAACAAGGUAGCCGUACCGGAAGGUGCGGCUGGAUCACCUCCUAACAGGGAGACAACAAAAUGUUUAAUAUUAUUAUUUUGUCACCUUAGGUCGAUCGGUAUCUCACAUCCUUAAAUUAAUUAAGGAUUUUAUUUCCUAAGUUUUUCUAGGUCACACCCAUUAUUUUUCCUGGGCCAUUAGCUCAGGUGGUUAGAGCGCACCCCUGAUAAGGGUGAGGUCCCUGGUUCAAGUCCAGGAUGGCCCAUAUCUCUAUGUUGGGGGUAUAGCUCAGUUGGUAGAGCGCCUGCUUUGCAAGCAGGAUGUCAGCGGUUCGAGUCCGCUUACCUCCACUGAUUACCACCUCUUCCAUAAUUUUAAGGAAAUGUUUUGAGUUGUGAUCAAAUUCUGAGCGAAUCUAGCUUCCUAAUGAAAUCAUUAAGAUGCUGGACUCAUUGAAUUAAAUUCAUUGUUUUCAGAGAACCUUGACAACUGCAUAGAUUAUUUUUAAAGACAAUAAGCAUCUUUAAUGAUGCAGAUUUAUUAUUUGUGCGAAUGCAUUAAUAACAAUUCUAUUAAGCUGAUGCUUCAAUUUUUGAAGUUAUUGGUCAAGCUACAA